CUGAACUUAAGCAUAUCAAAUAAGGCGGGAGGAAAAAGAAACCAACAGGGUUUGCCCUAGUAACGGGAAGUGAAGCGGCAACAGCUCAAAUUUGAAAGCUGGCUUAGGCCCGCCAUUGUAAUUUGCAGAGGAUGCUUUUGGUGAGGUGCCUUCCGAGUUCCCUGGAACGGGACGCCAUAGAGGGUGAGAGCCCCGUAUGGAUGGACACCAAACCUGUGUAAAAGCUCCUUCAACGAGAUCGAGUAGUUUGGGAAUGCUGCUCAAAAUGGGAGGUAAAUCUCUUUUAAAGCUAAAUACCGGCCAGAGACCGAUAGCGCACAAGUAGAGUGAUCGAAAGAUGAAAAGCACCUUGAAAAGGGGGUUAAACAGUACGUGAAAUUGUUGAAAGGGAAGCGCUUGUGACCAGACUGCGCCGGGCAGCUCAUCAGGGGUUCUCCCCUGUGCACUCUGCCCGGCUCAGGCCAGCAUCGGUUCUCGUGGGAGGAUAAGAACAGUAGGAAUGUGGCCCCCUCUCGGGGGGGUGUUAUAGCCUAUUGUACGAUACUCUCGUGGGGACCGAGGUUCGCGCUCCGCAAGGAUGCUGGCGUAAUGGUCAUCAGCGACCCGUCUUGAAACACGGACCAAGGAGUCGUCCAUUAGAGCGAGCGUUUGGGUGUAAAACCCGCACGCGUAAUGAAAGUGAACGCAGGUGAGAGCUUCGGCGCAUCAUCGACCGAUCCUGAUGUCUUCGGAUGGAUUUGAGUAAGAGUUUUAACGGACGGACCCGAAAGACAGUGAACUAUGCUUGUAUAGGGUGAAGCCAGAGGAAACUCUGGUGGAGGCUGCGCAGCGGUUCUGACCGUGCAAAUCGAUCGUCAAAUAUGAGCAUGGGGCGAAAAAGACCUAAUUCGAACCCGUUCCUAACCC
rnacentral:rRNA from 1 species